rnacentral:rRNA from 1 species
AACGAACGCUGGCGGCAGGCCUAACACAUGCAAGUCGAGCGAGGACUUCGGUCCUAGCGGCGGACGGGUGAGUAACGCGUGGGAACGUGCCCUUUGCUUCGGAAUAGCCCUGGGAAACUGGGAGUAAUACCGGAUGAGCCCUUUGGGGGAAAGAUUUAUCGGCGAAGGAUCGGCCCGCGUUGGAUUAGGUAGUUGGUGGGGUAAUGGCCUACCAAGCCGACGAUCCAUAGCUGGUUUGAGAGGAUGAUCAGCCACACUGGGACUGAGACACGGCCCAGACUCCUACGGGAGGCAGCAGUGGGGAAUCUUAGACAAUGGGGGAAACCCUGAUCUAGCCAUGCCGCGUGAGCGAUGAAGGCCGUAGGGUUGUAAAGCUCUUUCAGCUGGGAAGAUAAUGACGGUACCAGCAGAAGAAGCCCCGGCUAACUCCGUG